CCUACGGGAGGCAGCAGUGAGGAAUAUUGGACAAUGGGCGCAAGCCUGAUCCAGCCAUGCCGCGUGCAGGAAGAAGCAUCUAUGGUGUGUAAACUGCUUUUGUACAGGAAGAAACACUCCCUCGUGAGGGAGCUUGACGGUACUGUAAGAAUAAGGACCGGCUAACUCCGUGCCAGCAGCCGCGGUAAUACGGAGGGUCCGAGCGUUAUCCGGAAUCAUUGGGUUUAAAGGAUCCGUAGGCGGUUUAANAAGUCAGUGGUGAAAUCUGGUCGCUCAACGAUCAAACGGCCAUUGAUACUGUUAGACUUGAAUUAUAAGGAAGUAACUAGAAUAUGUAGUGUAGCGGUGAAAUGCUUAGAUAUUACAUGGAAUACCAAUUGCGAAGGCAGGUUACUACUUAUGGAUUGACGCUGAUGGACGAAAGCGUGGGGAGCGAACAGGAUUAGAUACCCUGGUAGUCCACGCCGUAAACGAUGGAUACUAGCUGUUCGGAGCAAUCUGAGUGGCUAAGCGAAAGUGAUAAGUAUCCCACCUGGGGAGUACGUUCGCAAGAUGAAACCUNAAUGAUUGAGNUGAGACGNGCGACGGACGACGACGAGGGAGAGG
rnacentral:rRNA from 1 species